UGCGUAGGUGGUUGGAUAAGUUAUCUGUGAAAUCCCUGGGCUUAACCUGGGCAGGUCAGAUAAGACUGUUUGACUCGAGUAUGGGAGAGGGUAGUGGAAUUUCCGGUGUAGCGGUGAAAUGCGUAGAGAUCGGAAGGAACACCAGUGGCGAAGGCGGCUACCUGGCCUAAUACUGACACUGAGGCACGAAAGCGUGGGGAGCAAACA
rnacentral:rRNA from 1 species